UCUAGUAUGGCAGAAUAGUGCAACGAAUUUAAGCUCCGUAUAUAAAGAAAAAUCUUUUAUUAGAA
rnacentral:tRNA from 1 species